CACGCCUACUACGGUACGGGGUUUCCUAUCCCUUUCUGCAAGAGCGCAGCCUUUUUCCCACGCCUUUGUGAAGAUUGGAGGACUUGAGAUUUUCAGGAAGGGACUUCAUGCAGUGCAAGUCGUGCAAGUUUUCAAGCUCCUCCCAGGAAAUUCUUCUUAAGCAUUGUAGGCUUCACCACGGUCACGAACAAUACAAAGUUGGUGGGAAACUGAUGGUGACCACAAGGACAUUCAUCCUCAACUAAGCCAUUAAAAAUGACUUUGUUACUUCGAGUAGUUAUCUCUCCAAAAGAAGCCCGUCGAAUCCUGCUCACAGAGAUACCAGCAUCUGUUGACCAGCUCAUCGAUGUACUUAAAGACAAAAUCCAGUUGGAAGGUGAUUUCUCACUCCAGUUCGAGGACCCCGAUUUUUCAAAUGCAUUAUGUCAGUUGACUCAAAUGUCAGAGUUGCCAGAUGGGCGUGCUGUCUUGCACAUUGUGUGGAACACUGGGGAAUCUCCCCUCAGCCGAUCUGAUAGCCAUUCCAUUGGCUCAGUGUCCUCCCUUGACACAGCCAGCUUACACUCUGAGGACUGUAAUGAGGCGCAGAGGAGCCCUACUCGUUCCUUCCAGGGGAGCUUGUUCGAGUCCCUCCCUUCUACCUCCUCAAGUUCUGUCCAGGGGAGCUUGUUCGAGUCCCUCCCUUCUACCUCCUCAAGUUCUGUCCAGGGGAGCUUGUUCGAGUCCCUCCCUUCUCCCUCCUCAAGUUCUGUCCAGAGCAAUACAGAUUCUCCCCAGACCCCUUUAAGGCGUACAACUUGGUGGCCAAAUCCAUUCACAAUCCCUAAAUUUGCGUAUGAUGUUGAGCUGAGAUUGCGUAAGGGAAAUGACGUAUAUGAAAGAACACAGAAGCGCCUCAUUCUUACAGGAGAUAUGAGAUCUGACAUUGUGAAUAAACUUUGGCAGAGUAUUUUUGAUAUCAGAGGUGCCUAUCCCAGUAAGGAUGAAUUAGUGUCUGUUGCGUCUGGUCUUCUGGUCAAGUAUCCUUGUCUAAAGGAGACAGAUAGUGUAACUGGCUAUGAUGGAUGGCUGAAGAGUCUUCAUUAUAAGAUGGGCAACUUCAGGGCAAAGUUGCGUCGUGCAGGCUGCAAUGAGGUGAUGGUGAAUACAAAAAGAAAGGGAGAGGAUGGAGUGGCUGCUCCGUUCAUCCUGAAAAGGGCCAAACGUGGAGAGGUCAACCAUGUUCCAGAAUAUCCAGACAACCAUGAUGGUACCACUCUUGAGGAGGAAAGGCUUGCACUGAUUGAAGAAAUGAAGAAAAGGAAAAGGAACAUGGGUCUGAUUAGGCAGAAGAUGGAACUGACUUUCUCCCAUCGUCGGAGAGAAAUCGUAGAAGUGCAGCCUAUGGUGUCAGAAGUCCAAGAACGAUGGCCUGCACUGUUUUCUCAUGAGGAGCAGAGACCUCCGGGCAACUUGGAAUGCAUCCCUCGACAACUAUGUACCUCGCCUGAUAAAACUGUACCGAGCCAGAAAAGCAGCUUUUGGUCCAGAUAUGGAGAUGUUGCUGAAUAAACUUGAUGAAGAGACAACAGACAUUGUGCGUCAUCGAAGGACAGCAGCACUGAAAGGCCUUCCCAUUUUUGUUCGUGACGAUGCAUCACAGUUCUAUUUGAAGUGUGUGGACACAGACCCUGAAGAAUCGGUAGUUGCAGGAGUGCCCGUUGCAAUACUGACCGUCUAUGUAGAUGAUGAUGCUGCCGCAUGGACAACAGUGACUGACAUCGCCAUCGUCUUGGAAGGGGCAGUAAUACUACACAACUCACCUGACCUCGCAGCUGCCUUCGCCUGCCUGUUUGGCCUUUUGUACGCAAUGGACAUAAACUAUCCAGAGCAGAUGAGGUACACCUUCGAGGCUAUCCAGAACAUCUUUUUCGAACUUGGAUCAAGAUGCUCACAGCGCAUGCGAUCCUUGAAAGAGAAGCUGUUGCUGUGAAGCCUGUGUAUGAUUGACACUCACAUGGACAUCAACACGCAUGUACUCACACACAGCUUUGUCAUAACUCCUGCAUGAACACACACACACACAAAGCUCUUCUUUGCCGACUACCACAUUAACAGGCCUGUACACACACAUUGUUCUCCAACAACUUCUCCAUGAACACACACACACAUAUAGCUCUUUGCUAACCACUACAUGAAUAGGUCUGUACACACACAUUGUUCUCCAGAAAACUUCUCCAAGAACAAGCAUGCUGCACAAGCACACAGAGAGGAAAGGAGCAGUUCUUAAGAAGCUCAGUUCACAGGGCACUAAGCUCCUCUGUGCUUUCUUCUAGAAGCUAAGAAAAUUCACUGAGUUCAUUGUGGGUAUAUUUUUCUAAUAUAUGUGGUUUAUGUUGUUGUUGUUGUUUUGAAUCUUGAUAUAUAACAGCUUGUUAGGUUCCAUUACCAAUGUGAACACACACCUGCUACUCUGCUCGCCAGCAUAGCUCUCAUAUACUGUACACACUGUUCUCUCACCCCACACACAGACAGACAGAAGAGCAGUUCUCAAGAAGCUCAGUUCUCAGGGCGCCAAGCUCUUCUGUGCUCUCCCCAUAGCAGUUCAACAUGUGGUUUGUUUGUAUCUGUUGAUAUAGUGCAAUAAAAAUUUUGUAUUAACAUAA